AUGAUCUCUACAUCCCUACUGCUGCUGCUGCUGGCAGCCGUACACUGUGUUCACUGUGUUGAGCUGAUCCAGACCGGAUCCACAGUAUUAACUCCUGGUCAGUCACUGACUCUGACCUGUAAAGUGUCUGGAUAUUCAUUAACUGAUAGCAGCUACUGUACACACUGGAUACGACAACCUGCAGGAAAAACUCUGGAGAGGAUUGGAGAGAUAUGUGGUAGCGGUAACACUUUCUACGGUGAGAAACUGAAAAGCAGGUUUCAGGUUUCCAGAGACACGUCCAGCAGUACAGUGACAUUAACAGGACAGAACAUGCAGACUGAAGACACAGCUGUGUAUUACUGCGCUCGUGAAUAUCACAGCAAUGCCUCUUCUGAAAGCCUAAACACUUAUAUGCAAAUCAACAAAUCAAACCCCUUUAUAAAUGAUUAG